AGUACGUAAACAAUCUUCUCCAAUGUUAGGAGAAUCUUGACAUUACGAUACCACGAUGGGAAAUUGUGCCCCUCUAGGCAAUGUUUGUCGAGUAUUUUCGCGAGUGUGCUUCCAACCAUAUCUAAAUACAUAAACAAUAAAAUAAUUAGUUUGAUUGUCGAUUAAGUCAAACGAUUCGGGUCUUUAAACCGAAUGACACCACCCACCAUUUUUUAGCAAAUUCCAUAUCCCUCAAGAUGGAAUCCGGGAGUUUUCAAAGAAAGCUCCUAGCGGGUUAUGGGAGGCUCACUAUUACCAAGCCCACCUCACAAUGAUACGAUGUUGGCUAGCAAAAAUAAUAAUGAGAGGGUACACUUACCCAUUCACAACAACCUCUUGUGAUUACCUAUCUUUUUAGCCUCUAGAGAACAAUGCCUCACGAUGAUACGAUGUUGGCAUCAUUUCUCUUAGUUAAGUUCUUUCCCACCAUGCCGGUUUAGAUAGGGGUUCAAGCAUGACCUCACGAUGAUACG
rnacentral:lncRNA from 1 species